CGCAUCUGUGCAUGCAGCAUAUCAAUAAGCGGAGGAAAAGAAACUAACAAGGAUUCCCUUAGUAACGGCGAGUGAAGCGGGAAGAGCUCAAAUUUGAAAUCUUCAAGGUUUUACCUUGACGAAUUGUAGUUUAAAGAAGUGUUUUCUGUUGAAGUUUUGGUAAAAGUUCUUUGGAAUAGGACAUCAUAGAGGGUGAGAAUCCCGUAUUUGACCAUUAUUUUCAGCUGUGUGAUACACUUUCAAAGAGUCGGAUUGUUUGAGAAUGCAGUCCAAAAUGGGUGGUAAAUUUCAUCUAAAGCUAAAUAUUGGCGAGAGACCGAUAGCGAACAAGUACCGUGAGGGAAAGAUGAAAAGAACUUUGAAAAGAGAGUUAAACAGUACGUGAAAUUGUCAAAAGGGAAGCGUUUGACACCAGUGUUGUUUUCUCGAAAAUCAAUUAAAAAGAGUUUGAUUUUGUUGUGUAUUGACCUUAACAGCUUGCAUUUCAAUUUUCUUGCUAUUUUUAAUGCACUUUUCGUUUAACAAGUCAACAUCAGUUUCUUUUGUUGUAAAAAGGUCAUUGGAAGGUGGCUUUCUUUUCGGAGAAAGUGUUUAUAGCCUUUGACUCCUGCAAUCGGAGAGACUGAGGUCUGCAGCGUAGAUCCUUCGGGGUUAGAUACAUUUGUGCUAAGUUAUAGCUUUUUAUAGACAACUUGUUGACUAUGAUUAGUCUUGUAGCUUACUCGCUUAUGCUAUUUUACCUACGCUUAGGAUGUUGACGCGCGUGUGUGCGUGAGUCUAUACAUGACUCUGAGCAUAUCAAUAAGCGGAGGAAAAGAGGGCUAUUACCUACGCUUAGGAUGUUGACGCGCGUGUGUGCGUG
rnacentral:rRNA from 1 species